CUUCCACAGCAUAUGAAAUAAUUGGUUCGUACCCUGGGUUUGAGGUAUCAGUACUGGCCCUGAUAUAAAGUUAGGUUGGAAUAUUAUCAUAUAAAUGGAUGAAAAAUGACUGGCAAAGGGAGAAGCUGGAGGUCAAGGAGGUUUUGGUUUGCAUAGGACCAUGCAUCCUGUUCUAAACUACUAAGGUGUGGACAAAGCUGAACCUCUUCCUCCUCUGAUGUGCUGUGAAUCAAGGAAUAUGCAACAGAUCAAAGUCAGGUUCCUCUUCCCAGAAUAAUGUCAUGCUUUAAUUAAUGGC